AUGCGUCCGGCGAGGACGACCGUGCUUUGCUUCGUCGCCGGGUUCGCCGUCUCCGCGGUUUCCAUCUCGGCGCUUCGCCUCAUGGCCGGAUUCAUGAUACCGAGUGCGAGAUGCACAUUAUGGAGAUGUUUGCCAAGAAAUUCCUCCAGUUCUUGGGGCCUCCUCUCUUUGAGUGGCUCUCGAAGAUUAGCCUGAAACUCGUCAAGUUCUUGGAUCCUCCUGCUCUCUGUGAGUGGUUCGCGCUCUCGAAGCUUACUCUGAAGUGGCUCUUUAACAAGUAGAAAUUUGUCUAGUGCUGAUAUUAAAUGUAAUUUGGUCCUAUUUAUUGUAUUUAUUUACUGAGCCGUUCGAUUGUCCGAAUGAGGACCAUGGAAAAUAUUCAUGGAACAAGAAACCCUUUUGCAUCUGCAGUGUGAUCUGAA